rnacentral:rRNA from 1 species
AGUGAACGCUGGCGGUAGGCCUAACACAUGCAAGUCGAACGGCAGCACAGUAAGAGCUUGCUCUUACGGGUGGCGAGUGGCGGACGGGUGAGGAAUACAUCGGAAUCUACUUUUUCGUGGGGGAUAAUGUAGGGAAACUUACGCUAAUACCGCAUACGACCUACGGGUGAAAGCAGGGGAUCUUCGGACCUUGCGCGAUUGAAUGAGCCGAUGUCGGAUUAGCUAGUUGGCGGGGUAAAGGCCCACCAAGGCGACGAUCCGUAGCUGGUCUGAGAGGAUGAUCAGCCACACUGGAACUGAGACACGGUCCAGACUCCUACGGGAGGCAGCAGUGGGGAAUAUUGGACAAUGGGCGCAAGCCUGAUCCAGCCAUACCGCGUGGGUGAAGAAGGCCUUCGGGUUGUAAAGCCCUUUUGUUGGGAAAGAAAAGCAGCAGGUUAAUACCCCGCUGUUCUGACGGUACACAAAGAAUAAGCACCGGCUAACUUCGUG